CCCGCCGGCGACCGGCGCACGGGUGAGUAACACGUAUGAAACCUGCCCGUAGCAGGGGGAUAAGCGGAAGAAAUUCCGUCUAAUACCGCGUAACAACCCAUGGAGGCAUCUCUGUGGGUUUAAAGGAAGCGAUUCCGGCUACGGAUGGUCAUGCGUCGCAUUAGCUAGUUGGCGGGGUAACGGCCCACCAAGGCGACGAUGCGUAGGGGUUCUGAGAGGAAGGUCCCCCACACUGGUACUGAGACACGGACCAGACUCCUACGGGAGGCAGCAG
rnacentral:rRNA from 1 species